AACGUGAGCAACCUACCCUUCAGAGGGGGACAACAGUUGGAAACGACUGCUAAUACCGCAUAAGACCACGGUGUGGCAUCACACAGGGGUCAAAGGAGAAAUCCGCUGAAGGAUGGGCUCGCGUCCAAUUAGCUAGAUGGUGAGGUAACGGCCCACCAUGGCGACGAUUGGUAGCCGGACUGAGAGGUUGAUCGGCCACAUUGGGACUGAGACACGGCCCAG
rnacentral:rRNA from 1 species